GGCUGCUGGCCGGCUGGCUGAGCGGCGGGCGUUACCGACGCCCGGAAUUCUUUCGGCAGUUCGCUCUGCCAGCGGCGC
rnacentral:tRNA from 2 species